UACGUAGGGGGCUAGCGUUGUCCGGAAUCAUUGGGCGUAAAGCGCGUGUAGGCGGUUCGGUAAGUCCGCUGUGAAAGUCGGGGGCUCAACCCUCGAAUGCCGGUGGAUACUGUCGGACUAGAGUACGGAAGAGGCGAGUGGAAUUCCUGGUGUAGCGGUGAAAUGCGCAGAUAUCAGGAGGAACACCAAUGGCGAAGGCAGCUCGCUGGGACGGUACUGACGCUGAGGCGCGAAAGCGUGGGGAGCAAACAGG
rnacentral:rRNA from 1 species